rnacentral:lncRNA from 1 species
AGAUAUCCCGGAUGGACUCAGGGCCCACGAAGACCGGGUUGGCUCAUACAGCGACUUUCACAUUCCCACAGGCUUUAGACUUUGAGCCUGAAGGAGACAUCUCCCUUUUUCUGCACCACACUCCAAGACACAUUUCUCUGGCUGGUUUCAAGGUUUACAAGAGUUAUCUACAUCCGGGGAGCAACCAUGAAACACGUGCCAUUCCAGCCUCAUUGUCCCAUUGGUUCAUAAGGAAACUGAGUUGUGAAAAAGUAAAAGGCUUCUCCACUGUAUCUUGGCUAAGGAGGUUUGACCAUAAAUGUUACUAAGGAAGUUGCUAAUAGGAAA